rnacentral:rRNA from 1 species
UACGUAGGGUGCAAGCGUUGUCCGGAAUUAUUGGGCGUAAAGAGCUCGUAGGCGGCCUGUUGCGUCCGCUGUGAAAGCCCGGGGCUUAACCCCGGGUCUGCAGUGGAUACGGGCAGGCUAGAGGUAGGUAGGGGAGAAUGGAAUUCCCGGUGUAGCGGUGAAAUGCGCAGAUAUCGGGAGGAACACCGGUGGCGAAGGCGGUUCUCUAGUACGGUACUGACGCUGAGACGCGAAAGCGUGGGGAGCGAACAGG